UCCGGGGAUGGGAACGGGCUCUGGCCCCCUCGCCCGCUCUGAGGCUUCUUUGGGGCUGUUUUUUUGGGGGGAGGGGGUAUAUAAAUCUGUGCUGAACGUUUGCGGUUGAAUGCCAGGAGUCCGACGUUCAGCUCCGUCGGAUACCACAGGCACACACACACCCGAGGGGUGGGGGGAAGGAGAAGAGGGAGGCAGUCAUCAGGCCCCCUUUCUUCCCUUCUUACCCCCUCCCUCCAAAAAGCCCUUUUGAGCAUCUUGCCAUCAGGAAAGCGCUCACUCCCUCAUCAAGCCAUUUAUUUCAUCCAAUAAGACUAUCCAUCAUGGUACGCUGGAACCGACCUACGAUCCGAGGAUAUUCUUAGAUACGCAGCAUGUCAGGAAACGGCUAGCAGCCUCGCAUGAUGCAAAUAUUUGGAUGACCGAGAGGAAAGCAUCUAGGAAAGCAUGAAAACGCAGUGCUCAGACUUCACAAGUGUGUCAUAGCACUGGGGAAAUCCUUGGUGAAAGCUGCCUGGGAACUGUCAUUUCAGAGAUGGCGUGGAAGGUGUCAAGAAAGAAAGAAAGCAAAGAAAAAGAAGACUAACAGAAAAAUCUGUCACCUCCUAAAUCAGAGUGACAACUUCAGCACAGUGUUUACUCAUGGCAGUAAAAAUAAAUUGUCUGAGACUGAUUGUACCCACAUGCCACUCGCUACGCAACAGGGAUGUCCCCCGGUAUCGGAAACCAGAUGUGAGGAAACACAUGACAAUGGCAAUAGUCGUCAGCGUGGCAGCGGCAGUGACAGGGCUGCUUUCCUUCCAGUUGUAAUAAGUGAAAACAGCGAGAGGGAAGAGCGAUGUGUCACUGCUUCCCGCCACACCAAUGCACUUGCGUGGAGAGGGAAGAGUGACUUUCAAGAGUCCCAGCAAGGCGCACGGGCGAAUGAGCAAACGGGCAAACAAGCGAUUUGAGUGUAUCUUCAAGCCUUGAUAAAAUAAGCCUGCAUAUGCACAAAGUCUCCUCCUCACUUCCUCGGGGGAAAAAUAUCUGACAGUGGGGAUCCACUCCUGAGCGUCCAGGCUGCGACCUGGGGGUCCGUGACCCCAUCCUUGGUUUUCUUCUGAAGCCCUCACCAUCUCCUCCAGCUCAGGCCAGACCUGCCAGAGCCUGAGGCAAUAGCAGAGGAACCUCCGCUUCUUAAAGUACUACUCAGAAAAGCAUCCCAGUUUGGCACUGGGACAAGACGAGAGCGCUCUUUUCUCAUCUUGAUCGUAGUGCCCCCAAAAACCUUUCUCUCAUUUAUGGUCUUUCCAUAAGGUCUGGGUGCUCAAAGAUGUUCCAAGACACUUGUGGAGCAUCCUGAGUUGUACAUGGGCUGGGCUAGUCCUCACAGGACACUUUCUGUCCCUGCAAGAACUGCUGUCCCUUGACAGGACUGAGCCCUCCACAGACUUUCCGUGCAGCAAGUUCGUCCUCUUUGGUCUUUGGAAAAGGUCUUGCAGUGGUGCAGCCCCUUGAGGAAUGACUAAUUUUGGUGGAAUCAAUCUACCUAGAAAGCUUUUAAUUCUGAAGUAAUUCUUUGCUCAGGGCUAUUGUGGCAUCAGUUACUUUGUGCCUUGCUGCAGUUUCACUGCAGGAGGGAGUGAACAAGCCCCAUCCCUUGUUUAAACUUGCAUAAGGUGACAUAAUGGCAGGGUGGAGGGGAACAAAAACCUCAGCACAGUAAUGUACAGGACCGGGUAUCAUAGUCCCCAGCAGAAGGAGGGUCUCUUCGCUUGCCAGAGCUGGUCACUUCACCUGGUGGCACAGCCAGCAUUGGUGCAGGCUGAGUCGGCAGGGGCUGGGGUUACUCUGUGGCCAGGGUGUAGCAGGGACAAAGAGACAGGGGAGUUCCCCAAGACUCCCACUGCCUGUUGUUCCCACAGCUGUCCAUCUGCACAGCUGGAGACCUCCGGGGGUGAGUGACACCAGGGUUUGGCCAUGAACGGUUUGGGGGAAGGGGAGGGAGCACAGGCAGAGCAAUACAGACACAGACUUAUCUCACCAGGGCUGUUAAAGAAAAGCAGGAGAGAAACCCUUUGAAGGACAGUUUGGAGCAAGAGAGAAUGGUACAAAUGUUCCGAUUGCAACAUGUGACAGAUUUCAGGACAUCUUGAUGACACAGGUAUAUCCAGAGUAAAUUCUCUGCAUAUUCCAGUUGCUCACUGGACAUAUGACUUGAAUUCGUCUUGUGGCAACUUGCACAGAAAAUUGAGUAGUUCUGCAAGGUGAGAGGAACAGCAUCUGCAAGCUGGAGGUUUUCUUGCUCUCUGGGAAGGUGCAUCGUCAGCUGGAGCUUUUCUUGUAGUCGGGAUGUGUACGCACAGCCUCCGUGAUGCAAAUAUCCUGGGGUCAGCACUGAGACGAAUCUGACAUAGUGGCCCAGAUCUUCCAGAUGUGUAAAAUGUCAUGACUUCAUGCCUUUCAGCAGAGCAUCAAUCCAGCUAGAAAUGUGCUCGAUUAUCUUUCUGAGUUGCCUGGCCCAGCUACACCUCAGCAUACAAAGACUGUCAGGUAGCAUCCUCUACCUCACUCAGAGGAGGGCUGCACAGUCACUAGCACCUAAAGGUAUGUCUGGCAUGCAGCGUUUUUAAUCAAAACAAGCAAUAUGAAAAGGUAAAGAUGAUAGCAUUGCUGUUAUAAUUGUAAUGAGUCACAAAUGCUGUUCUGAUGGUUUUCUUUGAAAGAAGCACACAAAACCCAACUGAUUUAGUUAAAGAUCUCCCAGUCUUUGUAAUCAGCAUGGCCACAAAUGAAGGCAAGCCUACU